UAGGGAAUCUUCGGCAAUGGGGGGAACCCUGACCGAGCAACGCCGCGUGAGUGAAGAAGGUUUUCGGAUCGUAAAGCUCUGUUGUUAAGGAAGAACGAGUGUGAGAAUGGAAAGUUCAUGCUGUGACGGUACUUAACCAGAAAGGGACGGCUAACUACGUGCCAGCAGCCGCGGUAAUACGUAGGUCCCGAGCGUUGUCCGGAUUUAUUGGGCGUAAAGCGAGCGCAGGCGGUUAGAAAAGUCUGAAGUGAAAGGCAGUGGCUCAACCAUUGUAGGCUUUGGAAACUGUUUAACUUGAGUGCAGAAGGGGAGAGUGGAAUUCCAUGUGUAGUGGUGAAAUGCGUAGAUAUAUGGAGGAACACCGGUGGCGAAAGCGGCUCUCUGGUCUGUAACUGACGCUGAGGCUCGAAAGCGUGGGGAGCGAACAGG
rnacentral:rRNA from 1 species